AGCACAUCUUAGUGCUUGUGUUCAACUGUUGGUACUCUUAAGUGUAGGAGCUUAUCAUUUACCCACAGAGAGAUUAUUUAACCUUCUCCUUUAUGUUUAUAGCCCAUUUACUUCUUCACUUUGCAUUACUGCUGUAGGCAAAGCCUUCAAGCAGAAUAAAGGGGUUUAGAGAGCAGGUCCCAUUCUCUUAUCCAUUGACUUUAGAUGAAAUGGUUUCUGCUUUCACAGUUUAGUGUAAUGUGCACUACACGUUUGUUAUAUAGAACCAUUUUAAGUUGAGGUGUGCUCUGAGACUCUUCAGGGCUGCUGUCACAAGCAGAUCUCUAGCUUUUCUCAAGGCCUUUUCAGUGCAUCCUUCCAUUUUUAGGAAUGCGACAUAUUUAAGCAAGCAUAACUUUCUGCACCGUUUCAUUUUUCAUAUAAUCCUACAAUCUCUCCUCUAAAUGAAUCUAAGGGCUGUAUUACCUCUAUUGAUUUCUGUAUCAUGAAGCUCCUUUUGGCACUGAUAGGAAACCAGUUUGAUCAUUAUAAUUUUGCUAUAGGCUGUGAGCAUGCUGUGAGCAAGACCUAACCUGAGCUAUGUUUUCUCAGAGUUUCACUUUAUUAUUUAUUUCUUUGUAUGGUAUUGAUGUUUAAAUGGAGAGUUUCCUUGACUCUUCCUUCUAGUCCCAAUAUUCAUUAGGUUAAAUGAUGCAGUUUCCCGGUGAACUUUUCUACCUGUUUUUUUUGUUUGUUUGAUUUUUUAGCUCUAAUAUUUUUAUAUUUUUAUUCUUUGUUUUCAAAUGUGUUUUCUUGCUGAUGUUCUCAUGUAUAUUUCUAGUUUGCAUCUCUAUUUCCUUAGCUACAUUCCUUCACCUGCUAUUUUGUAUCUUCUUUGAAACCACUGAAUCUUAUUUUGUGCAGAGUUUGAAUUCUCAGUGCAGCUUUCCAGUCACUUCAUUGUCUCUAGUUUCAGCAGUUACAUUUAAGGGGUUAUGAUCGUUUCCAGGUUUUCAUAGGAACUGGGCUUCUGUGCUCUCAUUUCUACAUCACUCGCUAUUGGUAUUUCUUCUAGUUUUAUUUGGAAAUGUUAGUGAACAGCUUCCUCUUCCAGGCUAAAUCUUCAGUACUGUCCAGAGGACAGAAAUAACCACUAUAACAGCUGAAACACCAAUACAGACCAUGUCUGUAAUAGACAUGAAGUUAAUUAAAUCCAACUACCUCAGCUCAAAUGAGAAUAGAGCAGAAAAUAUAAAGCUAGUGUGCAGUGAGCCGUAAAGUUAAAACUGAAUGUGGGUCAGAGUAGAAAUAGUAAAUGCAUGAAGUUAAUUAGGUGAGUGGAGGAAUCUAAGAAGAAGAAGCAAUGCUGAAUAAAGGAAAGGAAAGUGGAGAAGAAAAAUGGAAGCCUGUUAGAAAGAGGAGGGGAACGAGGGAAAGAGGGCAUUAAUCAGAAGAUAUGUGUGAACAAAACUAGGUAAAUGUAAAGACAGGAAUAAAAAAUAGAAGGUUUAAAAUGCCAGACACUCUUACUGAGGCUAUGGAGUGCUAACAAAAAGGCACCUAUCAUGACUGCCAUUCAGAAGUCCCAAGAAGCAGCUGAAAGAGUCAGAUGCAGUUAUUUGCACCCAACCAAUGGACAGAGCAGCCGAACCCUGUUGUUGAAUUAGAGAAGACUAAAAGAAGUUGAGUAGAAGGGACAUCCUACAGGAGGACCCUCAGUCUCAAUGAAUCUGGACCCCUGAGACCUCUCAAACAGUGGACUACCAAACACACAGCUAAUAUGAGGCCCCCAACACAUAUACAGUAGAGGACUUCUGGGUCUGUGUUAAUUCAGAAAUGAUGCACCUAACCCUCAAGAGACUGGAGGUCCCAGGGAGUUUAGAGGUCAGGUGGGGUGGUGGUAGGGGCAUCCACGUAGAGUCGUGGUGGGAUGGGGAGGAGGUAUGGGAUGUAGAGCAGCCGGAGGGUAGAUGAGGGGCGUGGAAUGUAAUAUGGGGCAUAUAAAACAAAAUAAAUAUAAAAUAAAUUUGAAAAAAGAAAAAUGUAAAUUUUAAAUGAUUCAAAGGCAUAGC
rnacentral:lncRNA from 1 species